UCAGAUCGCCCAUAGCUGGAUCCUCCAUACCCCUCACUUUCCUGAGUUUCAUAACUCUGUCUCCCGUAACUCGGGGCCUCAUGCUCAGUCCUCUCUGACCUCCCACCAUAUCCACCAGACUCAUAUUCCGAGGUGGGCUUCCUCCCAUACCCAGAUCCAUACUCUUCUGACUCCGUUUUUCGCCCAUACCCAGAUCCGUACUCCGAACUAGGCUGCUCAUUUUCACUCUUUCGUCCAUAUCCGGAUCCAUACUCGGAACUGGGCUGCUCAUACUCGUUCUUUCGCUCGUACCCAGACUCAUAUUCCGAGGUGGGCUUCCUCCCAUACCCAGAUCCAUACUCUUCUGACUCCGUUUUUCGCCCAUACCCAGAUUCAGAUCCAUACACUUGCUGAUCGUAUUCACUCUUCCUCCCAUACCCAGAUCCGUACUCCGAACUAGGCUGCUCAUUUUCAUUCUUUCGUCCAUAUCCGGAUCCAUAUUCGGAACUGGGCUGCUCAUACUCGUUCUUUCGCUCGUACCCAGCCUCAUAUUCGGAACUGGGCUCCUCAUAUUCAGUCUUCCGUCCAUACCCACCGGAUCCAUAUUCCGAAGUAGGUUGUUCAUACUCCGGCUUGCGUCCAUAUUCAGAUCCAGAUCCACCAAAUUCGCUCUCACCAGCGCCAUAACCGCCACCACUUGGGUGGUUCACGGGCU
rnacentral:lncRNA from 1 species